ensembl:misc_RNA Metazoa_SRP Metazoan signal recognition particle RNA
GCUGGGCGCGGUGGCGUGUGCCUGUAGUCCCAGCUACUUGGGAGGCUGAGGUGGGAGGAUAGCUUGAGCCCAGGAGUUCUGGGCUGUAGGGCGCAGUGUCCGCACUAAAUUUGGCAUCAAUAUGGUGACCUCUGGGAGUGGGGGACCACCAGGUUGCCUAAGGAGGGGUGAAGUGGCCCAGGUAGGAAACAGAGCAGGUCAAAACUCCCAUGCUCAUCAGUAGUGGGACCGCACCUGUGAACAGCCACUGCACUCCAGCCUGGGCAACAUAGGGAGAUCCCGUUUCUU